rnacentral:rRNA from 1 species
AUUGAACGCUGGCGGCAGGCUUAACACAUGCAAGUCGAGCGAGCGGCGGACGGGUGAGUAAUGUCUGGGAAACUGCAUGAUGGAGGGGGAUAACUACUGGAAACGGUAGCUAAUACCGCAUACCAUCGGAUGUGCCCAGAUGGGAUUAGCUAGUAGGUGGGGUAAAGGCUCACCUAGGCGACGAUCCCUAGCUGGUCUGAGAGGGUGACCAGCCACACGGGAACUGAGACACAGUCCGUACUCCUACGGGAGGCAGCUGUGGGAAAUAUUGCACAAGGGGAGCAAGCCAGAUGGAGCCUUGCCGCGUGUAUGAAGAAGGCAUUCGGGUUGUAAAAUACUUUAAGUUGGGAGGCGUUACCCGCAGAAAAAGCACCGGCUAACUACGUGCCAGCAGCCGCGGUAAUUC